AGCUAGUUGGUGGGGUAAAGGCCUACCAAGGCGACGAUCUGUAGCGGGUCUGAGAGGAUGAUCCGCCACACUGGGACUGAGACACGGCCCAGACUCCUACGGGAGGCAGCAGUGGGGAAUAUUGGACAAUGGGGGGAACCCUGAUCCAGCCAUGCCGCGUGUGUGAAGAAGGCCUUUUGGUUGUAAAGCACUUUAAGCGAGGAGGAGGCUACCGAGAUUAAUACUCUUGGAUAGUGGACGUUACUCGCAGAAUAAGCACCGGCUAACUCUGUGCCAGCAGCCGCGGUAAUACAGAGGGUGCAAGCGUUAAUCGGAUUUACUGGGCGUAAAGCGCGCGUAGGUGGCCAAUUAAGUCAAAUGUGAAAUCCCCGAGCUUAACUUGGGAAUUGCAUUCGAUACUGGUUGGCUAGAGUAUGGGAGAGGAUGGUAGAAUUCCAGGUGUAGCGGUGAAAUGCGUAGAGAUCUGGAGGAAUACCGAUGGCGAAGGCAGCCAUCUGGCCUAAUACUGACACUGAGGUGCGAAAGCAUGGGGAGCAAACAGGAUUAGAUACCCUGGUAGUCCAUGCCGUAAACNAUGUCUACUANCCGUUGGGGCCUUUGAGGCUUUAGUGGCGCAGCUAACGCNAUAAGUANACCGCCUGGGGAGUACGGUCGCAAGACUAAAACUCAAAUGAAUUGACGGGGGCCCGCACAAGCGGUGGAGCAUGUGGUUUAAUUCGAUGCAACGCGAAGAACCUUACCUGGUCUUGACAUAGUAAGA
rnacentral:rRNA from 1 species